UUGAACGCUGGCGGCAUGCUUUACACAUGCAAGUCGAACGGUAACAGGGAGCUUGCUCCGCUGACGAGUGGCGAACGGGUGAGUAAUGCAUCGGAACGUACCCAGUCGUGGGGGAUAACGUAGCGAAAGUUACGCUAAUACCGCAUACGUCCUGAGGGAGAAAGCGGGGGACCGUAAGGCCUCGCGCGAUUGGAGCGGCCGAUGUCGGAUUAGCUAGUUGGUGGGGUAAAGGCCUACCAAGGCGACGAUCCGUAGCGGGUCUGAGAGGAUGAUCCGCCACACUGGGACUGAGACACGGCCCAGACUCCUACGGGAGGCAGCAGUGGGGAAUUUUGGACAAUGGGGGCAACCCUGAUCCAGCCAUGCCGCGUGAGUGAAGAAGGCCUUCGGGUUGUAAAGCUCUUUCGGCCGGGAAGAAAUCGUGGUCUCUAACAUAGGCCAUGGAUGACGGUACCGGACUAAGAAGCACCGGCUAACUACGU
rnacentral:rRNA from 1 species